UGUAGACGCUAUUUAACUUUUGCCUCCCCAAAAAUCGCAAACCCCGUCCCUCUCCAGCUGAGCCUGGUUCCCUCUUCUUGGAAGAGCCGACGAAGCUCAGGUUUCCCACAAUCUCCACCGUCCUUUCCCUGAAAUAAACCCCACCUCGCUCCACAAUUUAAAAAAUCGCUUCCUUUUCUCUUCCACUGACCUAGCCCAACUCUCCAAUUCCCCGCUCUCGUCUCUCCUUCACUGAUCACCUACUCCAAAAUGGUUUUCAUUUGCUGUUAGUGUUUUUAAGAUCAACCCUUUUCGUUUCCGGACCCAGUCUGUUCCCUAUCUUAAUUUACUUUUUCCAAAUCCUAAAUAUGGCUAUCCGUGUCACCUUCACUUACUCCGGCUACGUUGCCCAGAACCUUGCCUCCACCGCCGGCUUCCGUCUCGGCUCAUGCUCCUCUCGCUCCGCCCAUGAAUGCUGGCUCCGUUCCCGUUUCCUUUCCCCAAACAAAAAGGCCGACAUCGACUCUUCCCCUCCCCGUACCUACCAUUCCGCUGCCGAUCUGCGCCACCCUCGGUCGGGCAUGUACUCUACCCUGGCCGCCGAGAUCCUCAAUGACGGUUGCAAGAAUCCAAUUAUUGUGGGUUUGAUCUCUCUGAUAAAGUCAACGACAUAUGGUUCUUGUUCCCCGGUCACCACCAUGGGAAUUGCGUCUUUUAAAGCCACUUCGAUUAUCCCUUUCUUGCAGGGAUCGAAGUGGCUUCCGUGCAAUGAACCGACUCCUGGCGGACUGGAGAGUAUUGAGGUGGAUAGAGGAGGAACAACAAGCAAUGAUGGCCGAAAUUUGAGCUUGGAGUUGGAUCCCAAAGCGCUUGCUAAAAGCAGUUGGAUUUCGAGGGUGUUAAACGUUUGCUCCGAAGAUGCCAAGGCUGCUUUUACCGUUUUAACUGUUAAUUUACUGUUCCGGUCGUUUAUGGCCGAGCCAAGGUCAAUUCCGUCGGCUUCUAUGUACCCUACUUUGGGUGUUGGCGACCGCAUUUUGGCUGAGAAGGUUUCAUAUUUCUUUAGAGAGCCUGAAGUUUCCGAUAUUGUUAUAUUCAGGGCACCUCCUAUCUUGCAGGAAUAUGGAUACAGUUCAAAUGAUGUUUUCAUUAAAAGGAUAGUUGCUAAGGCUGGGGAUUGUGUUGAAGCUCGUGAUGGCAAAUUGUUUAUAAACGGCGUUGCACAAGAUGAAGAUUUUGUUCUAGAGCCAUUAGCUUACAAAAUGGAUCCAAUGGUUGUGCCUGAAGGUUAUGUUUUCGUGUUGGGGGAUAAUCGCAACAACAGUUUUGAUUCCCAUUACUGGUAAUUCAAAAUUUUCAACAUUAUACUAAUGGCUAUUUGGUUUUUAGAAUGCAUUGGAAAAGCCAUGAAAGCAAAAGAUGCAACACGGUUCUUCAACCUAACAAAAAGAAUGGGUCCACUUCCCAUCGAAAACAUUGUGGGUAGAUCUGUAUUUCGCUAUUGGCCUCCAUCCAAAGUUUCAGCCACUAUAUAUGACUCGAAUGUGGGGAAGAAUGCUGUAGCAGUUUCUUGACACCUGAAAUAACUUGAAAGACUUUAUGUGAGUCUGAGCUGCAGCGAAUUCGCACCUGGAUUUAUUGCCAUCGUGCAUGUUUUAUUAUGGAUAAUCCAUUCAUCAUAUUCGUUGUUUUUGUAAAUUUAUUGACGGCCAAUUGUAGGCCACUCACAAUUUUUCCUGUAAUUAGAGUGUCAAAUUUUCUUUGACAAGGAUUUGGGCAUCCCUUUUGUACUGAACUGAAUUGAGAAUAAUCUGAGGUCUUAAGCUGAGUAAAAGCAGAGAUAGGAGAUUGUUGAAGAAAGGGGUUAGGUGAUGGUCAAUGUUUGUGCAGGCUGAUUCCCAACUUUGGUGGGCCUGUGAAUGUAAUGUCAAUCCCAUAUUUGGAUUAUGAACUUUGUCUUCAUUUGUAAUAAGGAAAAUACCUUUGUCUU